rnacentral:lncRNA from 1 species
GACCAGGCCUGAAGUCGGAGCCCCCCACGGGACCCCCCAAAAUCCUUUGGGGGGGUCCCCAAAACCCUCUGGACCCCCCCCAAAAUCCCAAAUUUCUCCUGAACCCCCCAAACUUGGGGGGAUCCCAAAAUCCCCCCCAAAUUUUGGGAUCCCCCCCGUCAAUUUUUGGGGUCUUCAUCAAGACACUCCUCCCAGUUUUGGGGUCCCCAAAAUUUGUCGCCCCCAAUAAAAUUUUGGGGUGUCCCCCCCCACUUUGUCCCUGUGUCGUGUUUUGGGUCUUGCCCUGAUUUUGGGGUCCCUCCCCUAAAUUUUGGGAUUCUCCAUUUGUUUCCCCCAUAAAUUUGGGGUCUCCCCCAAUUUUGGGGUCCCCCCCCCACGAGUCAAGUUUGGGUUUGAGCCUUUAUUGGGGUCACACCGAAGACGAGACAGGGGGGUCCCCACAUUUUGGGGUCCUGGAGGAUUUGAGGGGGGGAAUUUUGGGGUUCCUGGGUGGAUUUUGGGGUUCUUGGGUGGGUUUGAGGUGCCCUGGUUGGGAUUUGGGGUGCCCUGGGUGGAUUUUGGGGUUCUCAGGUGAGUUUUGGGAUCCCUGGGUGGAUUUUAGGGUUCCUGGGUGGAUCUUAGGGUGUCCCGAGUGGAUUUUAGGGUGUCGUAGGUUAUUUUUGGGGUGCCUGGGUGUAUUUGGGGUGCUUUGGGUGUAUUUUGGGGUGUCCCAGGUGGAUUUUGGGGUUCCCAGGUGAAUUUUGGGGUGCCCCG